rnacentral:rRNA from 1 species
AUUGAACGCUGGCGGCAGGCCUAACACAUGCAAGUCGAACGAGUGGCGGAAGGGUGAGGAAUGUCUGGGAAACUGCCCGAGGGAGGGGGAUAACUACUGGAAACGGUAGCUAAUCCCGCAUAUGAUCGGGUGUGCCCAGAUGUGAUUAGCUUGUAGGUGAGGUAACGGCCCACCCAGGCGACGAUCCCUAGCUGGUCUGGGAGGAUGACCAGCCACACUGGAACUGAGACACGGCCCAGACUCCUACGGGAGGCAGCAGUGGGGAAUAUUGCACAAUGGGCGCAAGCCUGAUGCAGCCAUGCCGCGUGUAUGAAGAAGGCCUUCGGGUUGUAAAGUACUUUCAGCUGGGAGGCGUUACCCGCAGAAGAAGCACCGGCUAACUCCGUGCCAGCAGCCGCGGUAAUAC